CGGCGUGCCUAACACAUGCAAGUCGAACGAGAAAGUGGAGCAAUCCAUGAGUACAGUGGCGUACGGGUGAGUAACACGUGACUAACCUACCCUCGAGUGGGGAAUAACUUCGGGAAACCGAGGCUAAUACCGCAUAACAUCUACGGAUCAAAUGCGUAAGCAGCUUGAGGAGGGGGUCGCGGCUGAUUAGCUAGUUGGCGGGGUAAUGGCCCACCAAGGCAGUGAUCAGUAGCCGGCCUGAGAGGGCGCACGGCCACACUGGAACUGAAACACGGUCCAGACUCCUACGGGAGGCAGCAGUGGGGAAUUUUGCGCAAUGGGGGAAACCCUGACGCAGCAACGCCGCGUGGAGGAUGAAGCCCUUUGGGGUGUAAACUCCUUUCGAUCGGGACGAUUAUGACGGUACCGGAUGAAGAAGCACCGGCUAACUCUGUGCCAGCAGCCGCGGUAAUACAGAGGGUGCAAGCGUUGUUCGGAAUUAUUGGGCGUAAAGGGUGCGUANGCGGUGCGGUAAGUCUUCUGUGAAACCUCCGGGCUUAACUCGGAGCCUGCAGAGGAAACUGCCGUGCUG
rnacentral:rRNA from 1 species